GACGAACGCUGGCGGCGUGCUUAACACAUGCAAGUCGAACGGAAAGGCCCUGCUUUUGUGGGGUGCUCGAGUGGCGAACGGGUGAGUAACACGUGAGUAACCUGCCCUUGACUUUGGGAUAACUUCAGGAAACUGGGGCUAAUACCGGAUAGGAGCUCCUGCUGCAUGGUGGGGGAUGGAAAGUUUCGGCGGUUGGGGAUGGAUUCGCGGCUUAUCAGCUUGUUGGUGGGGUAGGGGCUUACCAAGGCUUUGACGGGUAGCCGGCCUGAGAGGGUGACCGGCCACAUUGGGACUGAGAUACGGCCCAGAAUCCUACGGGAGGCAGCAGUGGGGAAUAUUGCACAAUGGGCGGAAGCCUGAUGCAGCAACGCCGCGUGCGGGAUGACGGCCUUCGGGUUGUAAACCGCUUUCGCCUGUGACGAAGCGUGAGUGACGGUAAUGGGUAAAGAAGAACCGGCUAACUACGUG
rnacentral:rRNA from 1 species